AGUCUUUUAAACAAGCAAUGUGUAUGUUAGUAGUAUUUUAUAUGAAUUAUUUUUAAUAUAAGUUAAUGUAUACAUAAAUAAAUAGUAGUACUAUGUGAAGGCCAAAUCAAUCAAUUUGAUAAGUAUUUCUCUAAAUUAACGUGGUAUUAGAGUCCAUUUUGCCCCAUAGCUUUGUAUUGCUUAAUAAGUCAAUAUUCUAUUUCACAUGAAGGAGAAUGUUUAAGAAUAAAGUUCCAUUAUGAGAACUACUUUAGUUUCUAUAUCUUUUAUGCAACUCUUUCCAAUAUCAUACAAAUUUCCCAACCAUUAGUUUUGAUCCUUAUCCACUACUUUCCCUUAUAUCUAUAUUUGGUUAAUCCUUCAAUGAAGAAUUCUUAUCAACCAUGAUUUUGAUGCUCAUAUAACUUUAAUUUAGUCCUCUAUUUGCAUUUAUUCUCACCAAAAAGUAUAACUGUUGAUCAGUCCUCCCUUGUCGUCAUGACUCUGACCAAUAGUGAACACAGUAGCACAUGUCAUGUUACUUUCCAAUUCAAUUCUUUUUGAAUAUGCUUUAGUUCUCUGUUCUCUAUUGAACAUCUCUCCCUUGUUCAAAAUUGAUUUUAUUUAUAUCAGUGCUCAUAUUAACACUAGCACCUCAAUAUAUGUUUAAUAACCAUCUUAGUCAUCACACUAGCCUGUCUCGCCAACAUGUUUUUUUUCAACCUCACUCUUUUCUUGAUUUGAACUUUUGAAAAUUGCCUUUUGCUUCUACUUCUACAAUUUGCUUCUCCAAUAAAAAAUGUUUUAAUUACCACUUAUUUUUAUAACUUUGUCUGAUAAUUAUAAUAUGUGGCUUUAGAACAUUCUCAACUUGGUUUUUAUAUCUUCAUCAAAUCAUAAAACUAAUUUUUACCAAGACUAAUCUUCUUGGUCAUCUUCAAAACUCAAUUUUCAAUCUCAAGUUAAUGUCAAGGCAUCCGCCUUGGUUUUGAAGAGAGUGUUAACAUAAUAGGAGAUAUAUCUCAUAAAUAAGAAAUGU
rnacentral:lncRNA from 1 species